AUUGCCACACUCCCUCCACCUUCCCGCUAUUAUCUCUCUCCCCAAAUCUCCCUCUUGCUCUCGAACUCUUUCUCAGAAUUAACCGUGAUCCAUACACUAACCUCCACGCUCUCUCUCUCUCUCUCUCUCGCUCUCAAACUUUUUCUCAAAAGUGAGAACCGUAACCUCCAUUCCUCUCUCAAAAUCUUUGUCCAUCCUAUUACUCUCUCUCUCUCACGAAUUACCCUAACCUUCUGGUAUUCUUUUGAAAGGUUGCUUUGCAUCUGUGGUUCUCGUCGGAAGCGAGGAGGGCAAAACGGCUAUUGUCGAGGAAGUUCUGGUUCUGGUCGAAGCCAUCAAGGACGGAUUGAUGAAAGGGAAGGAAUUCGCAGUCUUAACGCUUCUGCAACUCUGUAUGUUCGGAACAAGGGUUUGCUUGUAAGGGAAGGUGGAAUCCCUCCGUUGGUCGCUCUCUCACAGUCAGGAAGUGCCCGAGCGAAGCACAAGGCUGAAACAUUACUUGGUUAUCUGAGAGAACCAAGGCAAGAGGCAUCCUCUUCUAAUCCUGUGGAGAGUCUGUAAACCAUGGACUGACUUGUGGGGUCAUCUAAACUAAAGAUUUUGAUCGUGCAUGUCUUGGUGGUUUCAAAAUGGAUUUAGUUUGUGAUCCUGGGUUUUGUUUUGUUUUGUUUGGGAGAGCCAAAUUUCUACUAAAACACACAAAAGAGUUUUGAUUGAGGCCUUUCAAUAGUAUCUAGUAGGGAAGUAGUGAGUGUGAGAUAGAACUGGAAGAAGGGGGCUUGAGUUAUAUUUCUGACAGACUGUGUUGAGUGUGUUGGGGCGGUGUGAUAUAAUCAUGUAAAUGGUCCAAUGAAACCUUAACUACAUUUAUAAAUGUGUUGGGUGACUUGUGUCUUUCUGAUGAUCUAUCCUUUCUCGUUGACCAGAUGAUUGGAUCCUCAUCCUAUCCAUAACAUUAACAUUGAAGGGCACCUCUCUCUCUGUUUUUUGCAUCUUUGUUUCAUGUGUGCACCAUCAUGUGAUUUGUUUGGGUUAUGGCUUUAUCUAUGAUCUCUACAUUGAUUUUGUUAUUUGAUAAAACUACAGAGUUACAUUGUGUUUCUUUUUUUUCUUCGAAGGUUCUCUUAUAUUUUGUGAUCAAGUACAGUCAUCCUUUUUCAAUACAUGCAUUGUGAUAUAUCAGUUCUGGUUUUAGAGAUAUAUUGUAGUUUCUAAUGGGUGUCUACUGAUUAAUAUCAUAAUUAACUUAUCUUCUGAAAUCUGUUGGUAUAGUACUGGUACUGAAUUCUGUCCAAGUUGAACUUUCCUCAUUAAACUAGGAUUCUUUAAUAUCUUCUAUUUCAACCAUCAGAAACUACGGAGGUUUUACUGCGGUAUGCAUCCUGAUUAAUAGACCACUUGGUUUUCUUUUGAGCCAAUUAUGACUUUUAGUUAUUGAAGUGACUGAAGUUCUCUGUUUAAGCAAUCCUUGCUUGGAUUGGAUUUAAUCAAAGCUCAGAAAUCUAUCCAUUAGAUUAAUCUAAGAUUUUAAUAUCAUGUUUCUUCACCAAACUAGCAUUCGACCAAGGUUUGGUCGAAAUCUGAGUUUAUAGAUUGGUUUGGUGGGAUUUCUCUUGAAUUCUAGGGUUUUCUCUUGAAUUCUAGAAUAUUUAUUGAUUUGUUUGUUGCUGCUUUUGCAAACCUAGUCUUCAGGUGACUGGGAACCACAUUAUAAUCUUUACAUUGGGCUGGAGGUUGCUUCGAUGUCAAUGAUGAUGCGAUGGCCAUAUUUGGGUGAUAGAAGAAGUGCAUGGAAUUAGGAUUUAUUAGAAGCAAAUAGAAUUUAUUCUAACAUAUAAGAUUUACAUCUUGUGUAUUGUAUACAAGUCUAUAUGUAUGCUACUCUGUACCACAUCACAUACAAGUUCCAUUCUACCACUCUUGAGCUAAGUAAUCUGAUUGCUUAAAGACUCAACUACUUUGGAACUAUAACAGUUAAUUCAGCCUUAGAUUGAGACACUAUUGGGAAUUCCUCUUCCAGUUAGCCAACCAAUACCAAAAUAAUUGGAAGUGUCUGCAUAGAGCAAUGUGUAUGGGAUCAAGACAUGCCCUAUUUGAUUCCUCAAUCUUUUGUCAUUGUUCAUCUCUAUAAUUCUAUUCUCAAUCUUUACUAGCCUCUUUCCAAAUUCUUCAAAAGCUUCCAAUGGUUCUGUAUCUGAUGUCCGGUUUGGAGUGUCCCUUUGCCCAAGAUAGACCUUAUCAGAAGAAUGUGUGGAACCGGUUAUGAAUCUGAUGUCCUGCUUCCAAAUUCUUCAAAAGCUUUCAAUCGGGGCAUGUGUAUGUAACUUGCAACCAGAAUAAGAAUAUCAUUAAUUAAACUGUUAUGAAUCAAAUUCUUAUCGCAAAUCUUCCAAUGUGAAGCAUUUAAUUUCCAGUGACUGAUAAGCUGGUGAACAAUAGAGUCAUUCACAGUUGCGUAAGCUUUAUCCAGUUGCCUUACUGAGGCCUGAACACCUUCUUCAGCAGGGGUGAAGACCUUACUAAUUGCACCAUAUUCAUCACCAUCUGGAUGUGGCAGACUCAACUCAAUUGCCGGUGGCUUCAAGGUCCCAUACUUUCAUCCUCUUUCAAGAAGAGGAGUGUUCUGGUUGCAUGGGUCUUUGUGGUAGUGGUGUGUAUACACCUUAGAUAUGGCAUUUCUUUCUUUGGCUAAAAGAGGACAAUUUCCAUGGGUUCAUUAAAGUGAAAGAAAGACACAGAAACAGAGGAAUACAUUGUAGCCUAUUCCUUUCAUGGCUCAUGCAAUUGAACCUUCCAAUUGUCAUUAUCUUGUUGGACAGUUCUUGUAGAAUAAUUCCCACAUAUAUCUUAAUCUUUUUACUAUUUCUUAAAAUUAUUUUCCUUUUUGUAGGAAUUGGAAUCAUAAGUAUCAAGUUUGUGCUGGCCAUAAGACAACCCAGUUCCUGAUUCACACUGAAUCAAAGAUCAAACUACAAAUAAUCACCAAAACACCAGAUCUACCCAAUUGAUCCUUUUUUGUUUUCCUGUUUACAGGCCAAAGAUCAGUAAAGAUUGAAAGAGCAGUGUUAUCAAUACCUGCUGGAUUAGAGGAAAGAUUUUGGUAAUCCAUAAAAGGAUCAGUGCUUCCUUUUACUUUAAGAAUACUAUCCCUGAAAUUUCUCUCCAGUCAAAUACUAGUGGAUGAUAUGAUCAAGAAUAAAGUUUUAAGUCUUUUUAGGCACACCGUGUCAGGUGUGGCAAGGAGGAGAUCAUUGAUCAGGGUUUGGUUAGAAAGAUGGAAAUCCAAGUUUCCAGGAACAAGAUUUUGAUAAAUUAAAGAUAUACUCUUUUUUUCUUUGGUAGUGUAAAUUUUUUAUGACUUUGACAAGUUUUGGAUGUGAUACUGGCUUGACUAGAUAUUAGUGAUCGAUAAUAAUAUAUUGAUAUCUUGAUUACGUAAAAUAUAUGUUCUUUUUUUACUUUGGUAGUGUAAAUUUUUUUUUCCUAAUUUCAUUCAUGAUUUAUAAUGGCAGGUACAAUCCUACGUAGCUGCACAACUUUAAGGAUCAAUAUUAGCAAUUACUAUAUAUUUGGCAUUGAGAAGAGGGAUUUUUUUGGGUUGGCACCAAUAGGUUCAGACAACUGAGCAUUUGGGAUGGAGUUUUUUUUUUUUGUCAUUGCUUUUUGUACUAUGUUUGUAGAAAAUGUAAUGAAACAUAUGGAUUUAUGAUUGUAUACAUUUUAAUUUUUAAAAGUUGAAUGAAAACAAUGAAAUCUUAUGUCC